GCUCCUGCAGGGCAACCUGAGAGGAAGCAGGGUGGUGCCAGACAGAGGGACAGCUGACUUCCAGCUUCCUCAGUAAUUUUGCUUAGGGCUGGCUUUGUGUGUGUGUAAAUCACUCAGAUAAUUGCUGUAAUUCUGUGCUUAGCUUGGCUGCUUAGACCCUGGGUUCAUGAAUAUUCAUGAGAUCUAUCCACACCACACUAUUACUUAAAAUUUCCUAGACAGCUUUCAUGCUGAGAGUGCCAGCUUGUUUGUGCUGAGAAGAAGAUGGCCAUGAUUUUCUCGUCUGAGUGGGAGUGAGCUGACUGUGGUCGGAUGCUUCCCUGACUGUCCACCGACGUAAUGGCAAGAAGUAGCUCGAUGUGUCCGCAUGGCACACUUCUCUGCAGUCUUCAUCCAGAUUUUUCCUUCUGUAUUUGCCUGAUCAAAACCUGCAUCAAGCACAGGGUCUCUGGCACCCAAGACAAGGUGACCAUGCAGUGGGUCCCAUGGUCCACUCAGGAGACAACGGGAUGGCCUAUCAGGAUAGCAAAGCAUGCAAAGGCUUUGGGCACUGUCUGCCAAGUCAAAAUGGGGUGCCUAAAACUAAGAAGGGCUGGCAAUUCAAGUGCAGCCAUGCUUGAGUCUUUAAAUGAACCCAUGUUAGAUAUGCCAUUUAUGGAGGAGAGUGAUCAUCUGCAAUGGGGAGAAGAGUUAUUGGAAUGUCAUUAUGUAUGUUUGCACACAUCGCCCUAUAGCUAGACAACUCCAUGGAUUUACUAUCGUGGACUUGAAGAGUGUGUGGUUCUGUCUGUGUUAAGGAGCUCCGGAAAGAUGGUUCUGAUGGAAGAGGCAUCAGAGUGGAUCAGAGAUAUGAGUCAUCUCCCAGUCAAGGAGCUGAAGAAAGCUGAGAUCUCUGGAGGAAGAUGACCACACUUGGAAUGCCUUUCUGAGGGUGUGAAGAGCAGAGACAUCUUCCUCCGGGUGAGAGACAUCAUCUGAAGGAGUACGGCAGAGACAUGGCUAUUUGAAAUAUAGACUCUUAACUAAGAAUUCUUUGGCCAUCCUGUUUUCCUGAAGGAAGGCUGGCUGGAUCUCAGCCUGUUGCACAGAGAUCAACCUGUCUGCUAAACCCGAGGCUCAGGAACUCUCUAGAAAUGGUUACUCUAUCACACCAUGCAAGAAACAACCUGAAUAAAAAAACUGCUUCUCUGUCCAUGGUUAUUCCCGAAGUGUGUGCUGGAGUCAAUGUGUUACAAUGAGUGAGAAUUCACAUUUGCACUUAGUGGUGUGCUCUGGGAGUUUGCAUGGUUGAGGAGAAAGGUAGAUCGUUUUUAUUUAUCUUAUUUGCUCUUGACUGUUAGAUAAAAGUCAUGUAUAGUUUAGAUUA
rnacentral:lncRNA from 1 species